CAACCCCUCGAGCCCCCAGGGGGGCUCGGCGUUGGGGACCGGCCCCGCCCCAGGGCGCCGCCCCCGAAAUCCAGUGGCGGUCUCGCCGCAGCCUCCCCUGCGCAGUAGCUCACACGCUCGCACCGGAGGAGCGGCGCGGCCUCGCCGUUAAACCCCCCACGACCGCAUGGAA
rnacentral:misc_RNA from 1 species